rnacentral:misc_RNA from 1 species
AAAUGUCGUGCCAAAUAACUGGGUCAUCCGGUUAUUGACCAUCUUUGGCCUGCCUAUUUGAAAUGCUUUUUCUGAUCUUUGGAUGUAUGGAAUUGAUUGAGAAUGUGGUAGGAUUAUUUUGUUCAUGAUAAUGAAGCAAGCAGCAUCGGAUUUAAAGUCAUUAUUUGCAGGAACACCCUAGCAACUGUGAUAUAGAACUUACAUUUGCCUUGAUGAAUAUUUUUGUCCUUACUUUUAAUGUGUAUUUAAAUAGAGC